rfam:Chelonia mydas contig203002, whole genome shotgun sequence.
GCUCCAGUGGCGCAAUUGGUUAGCGCACAGUACUUAUAAAGCAGUACUUGACUGAGCAAUGCUGAGGUUGUGAGUUCGAGCCUCACCUGGAGCA